rnacentral:rRNA from 1 species
CAGGAUGAACGCUAGCGACAGGCUAACACAUGCAAGUCGAGGGGCAGCACGGGAGUAGCAAUACAACGUGGUGGCGACCGGCGCACGGGUGAGUAACGCGUAUGCAACCUACCUAUCAGAGGGGAAUAACCCGGCGAAAGUCGGACUAAUACCGCAUAAAACAGGGGCACCGCAUGGUGAUAUUUGUUAAAGAGAUUCGCUGAUAGAUGGGCAUGCGUUCCAUUAGGUAGUUGGUGAGGUAACGGCUCACCAAGCCGACGAUGGAUAGGGGAACUGAGAGGUUGGUCCCCCACACUGGUACUGAGACACGGACCAGACUCCUACGGGAGGCAGCAGUGAGGAAUAUUGGUCAAUGGGCGGGAGCCUGAGCCAGCCAAGUCGCGUGAAGGGAAAAGAAGGAUCUAUGGUUCGUAAACUUCUUUUGCAGGGGAAUAAAGUGCAGGACGUGUCCUGUUUCGUAUGUACCCUGAGAAUAAGGAUCGGCUAACUCCGUGCCAGCAGCAGC